GAUUUAUAGCUUAGUGGCAGAGCAUAUGCUUGGCAUUCAGGAGGUCCCAGGUUCAAUGCUUGGCAUCUCCA